ensembl:lncRNA
AGUUUUGUGGUCUACAUUUACAUUUUAGCCAUUUGSUUUUGUAUUGACACUGGCUUGGGAUAGAGGAAACUCCUGCAAGGAUCAGAUUGCCAAUCAAGAUCCUGACAAAGGAAGGAAACGGUUUACAUCUGUGAACUGGAGACUGGAAUCUGGGAUUGCAUAUGUGUCCGUUAGAAGGAGGCUGAACCAUUGCAGAAAAGCGUGUGCUGUAAUGAGGAUGCUAUCUACUGCAAUACUUCUUUCUUCAAAACACAGAAAGAUGUGACUUUUUCAUGAGACUAGAUACACCUUCUGAAAAUGUAAGUAAGUUUGGAUUUACUACAACUGCUCUGCCUCACCUGAAGAUUUUCUUGUGUGUGAUGACAGAAAGAGUGGCUUUAUUGACAGACCAAGGACAAGAGGCUGGGGUUGCCUGGUGUUUUAAGUGCAAGGAGGAGAGAACAUUUCUUGGGCUUCUUGGCAGCUUAUAUGAAGCCUGGGGCAAGGUGCUGGGCUGGUUUCUGGAGAAGGGGAGCUUGUCCACGCAGAGCCCUGCCUCUUGGCCAUGCUGCUGCUGCUCCUCGCAGCUUUAACACACAUGUUCACUUCUUCCUCUGACCUACGUCUGUCCAGCUGGGGUUCACGAGCAGAGACAGACCUGGGAAGAAGGGCAGGAAUGGCUCCGGCAGGGCAGUCGAUGUGCCAGAGAGGUAGAGGAGAGUGAAGAAGAGACAGGAGAGAGAGAAGCAUGAAAAUGAGUGAUGCACAACUGCCCCCAAAGGAGGAAAGUGCCAAUGGGACACUACCAUGGGCUAAAGCAGUGGGACAAGCAGGGUGGUGAUGGAAGAGAGACAGUUUGGGUACCCUGAGCUCAGGGAAAAGCAGAGGAUGUGAAACACCCUAAACAGGGACAUUUUAAUGAGAGGAGGGAACAGAGCAAGACGCAAGUGGCUGCAGUAAUGAAUGCUCUCUUAAAGUAACCCAGAAUUAGACACUGGCCCAUGCUAUUUGAAGUCAUUAAAAAAAUGUAAUGCUUUAGCCUUUCAAGAGUUAUGAGUGCAUCUCCCCCAGCUACCUUCAGAAACACUUCUUAAAUAUUGAAAACCCUACUGAGACUUAGCUAUAAAACUUUAAUGGAGACAGAUUCUCUGAGCCUGCUGAAAGGAUUUCUCCGCAGCAUAUAUUGCUGCAUUUUGGUUAAUUUACUGGGCUUCUUUCUCCUCAUCAUCUUUCUUAUCAGCAUCUUUCUUCUUUUCUC